rnacentral:rRNA from 1 species
UACGGAGGGUGCAAGCGUUAUCCGGAUUCACUGGGUUUAAAGGGUGCGUAGGCGGGCAUGUAAGUCCGUGGUGAAAUCUCCGAGCUUAACUCGGAAACUGCCAUGGAUACUAUGUGUCUUGAAUGUUGUGGAGGUGAGCGGAAUAUGUCAUGUAGCGGUGAAAUGCUUAGAUAUCGAGAGGAACACCUGCGGCGAAGGCGGGUUGCUGGGCUGACACUGACGCUGAGGCGCGAAAGCUAGGGGAGCGAACGGG